rnacentral:rRNA from 1 species
AUUGAACGCUGGCGGCAUGCCUUACACAUGCAAGUCGAACGGCAGCACGGGAGCAAUCCUGGUGGCGAGUGGCGAACGGGUGAGUAAUAUAUCGGAACGUGCCCAGUAGUGGGGGAUAACUGCUCGAAAGAGCAGCUAAUACCGCAUACGACCUGAGGGUGAAAGGGGGGGAUCGCAAGACCUCUCGCUAUUGGAGCGGCCGAUAUCAGAUUCGCUACGUGGUGGGGUAAAGGCCUACCAAGGCAACGAUCUGUAGUUGGUCUGAGAGGACGACCAGCCACACUGGGACGGAGACACGGCCCAGACUCCUACGGGAGGCAGCAGUGGGGAAUUUUGGACAAUGGGCGCAAGCCUGAUCCAGCAAUGCCGCGUACAGGAAGAAGGCCUUCGGGUUGUAAACUGCUUUUGUCAGGGAAGAAAUCCUCUAGGUUAAUACCCUUGGGGGGAUGACGGUACCUGAAGAAUAAGCACCGGCUAACUACGUGCCAGCCGCCGCGGUAAAAC